rnacentral:rRNA from 1 species
UACCAGCACCCCGAGUGGUAGGGACGAUUAUUGGGCCUAAAGAAUCCGUAGCCGGUUCUACAAGUCUUACGUUAAAUCCACCUGCUCAACAGUUGGGCUGCGGAGGAUACUAUAGAGCUAGGAGGCGGGAGAGGCAAGCGGUACUUAGUGGGUAGGGGUAAAAUCCGUUGAUCCAUUGAAGACCACCAGUGGCGAAGGCGGCUUGCCAGAACGCACUCGACGGUGAGGGAUGAAAGCUGGGGGAGCAAACCGG